GCAACCUCCUGAGUAAAGCGGCGAACGGGUGAGUAACACGUAGGUAACCUGCCCUCGAGUCCAGGAUAACCUACCGAAAGGUGGGCUAAUACCGGAUAUGACCACGGGAGCCUCGGCUCCUGCGGUGAAAGGUGGCCUCUGCUUGCAAGCUAUCGCUCGGGGAUGGGCCUGCGGGCCAUUAGCUAGUUGGUGAGGUAACGGCUCACCAAGGCGAUGAUGGCUAGCUGGUCUGAGAGGAUGGCCAGCCACACUGGGACUGAAACACGGCCCAGACUCCUACGGGAGGCAGCAGUGGGGGAUAUUGCGCAAUGGGCGAAAGCCUGACGCAGCGACGCCGCGUGGGUGAUGAAGGCCUUCGGGUCGUAAAGCCCUGUCGAGGGGAACGAAACGGCUCCGACCCAACACGUCGGGGCCCUGACGGUACCCCUAAAGGAAGCACCGGCUAACUCCGUGCCAGCAGCCGCGGUAAUACGGAGGGUGCGAGCGUUGUUCGGAAUCACUGGGCGUAAAGGGCGUGUAGGCGGUCCGCUAAGUCUGAUGUGAAAGCCCGGGGCUCACCCCCGGAAGGGCAUUGGAAACUGGCGGACUCGAGUCCCGGAGAGGAGGGUGGAAUUCCUGGUGUAGCGGUGAAAUGCGUAGAUAUCAGGAGGAACACCGGUGGCGAAGGCGGCCCUCUGGACGGUGACUGACGCUGAGACGCGAAAGCGUGGGGAGCAAACAGGAUUAGAUACCCUGGUAGUCCACGCUGUAAACGAUGAGCACUAGGUGUCGCGGGUAUUGACCCCUGCGGUGCCGCCGCUAACGCAUUAAGUGCUCCGCCUGGGGGACUACGGGCCGCAAGGUUAAAACUCAAAAGGAAUUGACGGGGGGCCCGCACAAAC
rnacentral:rRNA from 1 species